CAGCAGCCGCGGUAAUACGGAGGGUCCGAGCGUUAUCCGGAAUUAUUGGGUUUAAAGGGUCCGCAGGCGGGCUUAUAAGUCAGGGGUGAAAUGGUGCGGCUCAACCGUAGCACUGCCCUUGAUACUGUUAGUCUUGAGUUAUGGUGGAGUGGCCGGAAUAUGUAGUGUAGCGGUGAAAUGCAUAGAUAUUACAUAGAACACCGAUCGCGAAGGCAGGUCACUAACCAUUAACUGACGCUGAUGGACGAAAGCGUGGGGAGCGAACAGGAUUAGAUACCCUGGUAGUCCACGCCGUAAACGAUGGAUACUAGCUGUCCGCUGCCUUGAGCAGUGGGCGGCCAAGCGAAAGUGAUAAGUAUCCCACCUGGGGAGUACGUUCGCAAGAAUGAAACUCAAAGGAAUUGACGGGGGCCCGCACAAGCGGUGGAGCAUGUGGUUUAAUUCGAUGAUACGCGAGGAACCUUACCAGGGCUUAAAUGCAGAAUGACAGGUUUAGAGAUAGACUUUUCUUCGGACAUUUUGCAAGGUGCUGCAUGGUUGUCGUCAGCUCGUGCCGUGAGGUGUCAGGUUAAGUCCUAUAACGAGCGCAACCCCUACCGUUAGUUGCCAGCAUUUAAAGAUGGGGACUCUAACGGGACUGCCGGUGCAAACCGAGAGGAAGGUGGGGAUGACGUCAAAUCAUCACGGCCCUUACGUCCUGGGCUACACACGUGCUACAAUGGCCGGUACAGAGAGCAGCCACUCCGCAAGGGGGCGCGAAUCCUACAAAACCGGUCACAGUUCGGAUCGGGGUCUGCAACUCGACCCCGUGAAGCUGGAAUCGCUAGUAAUCGGAUAUCAGCCAUGAUCCGGUGAAUACGUUCCCGGGCCUUGUACACACCGCCCGUCAAGCCAUGGAAGCCGGGAGUGCCUGAAGUCCGUCACCGUAAGGAGCGGCCUAGGGCAAAAUCGGUAACUAGGGCUAAGUCGUAACAAGGUAGCCGUA
rnacentral:rRNA from 1 species